CGGGACCUCUCUGAUUGGCCGUGGUCCAGUUGAAAGUGCAGGUGGAAGAGAGAGGGUGGAUUAUCCUGGCCACAGCCAUCGGGGAAUACCAUUUCCAUGAAAGGGUGUACAUGCUCUGGAACAGUGCUUAGGAUUCAACACCUUGACCACAAGAGCGGAAACAUGAAACAAGCUUUUCAACAAACAAGUCAGAACACAUUAUAUAGUCUUUCCUCGCAUUUCUAAGCUAAUAUGAACAGGUGGCGAUUUAAUACUGUCCUCAAAUAAAGGCUGGAAUUCAUAAUACAAGGAAUAUUACUU